GUGAAUCAUCAAAUCUUUGAACGCAAAUUGCACUCACUGGUAUUCCGGAGAGUAUACCUGUUUGAGGGUCAGUUUAAAUAAAAAUCGGCGUGGUUGCUGCCUUAAGUGGUGACGCACCGGAUUUGGGUCGUAUUGCCUUCGGUUAAGUGACUUUAAAUUUUGCUUGAUUUUUUUCGAACGUAUUUAAAUGAUUUUACGUACGUUUGUGUUAUUGAAUACUAGGUGAGGUCAUUCUCAUGAUUU
rnacentral:misc_RNA from 1 species